GCAUCAAUGGGGUAGUGGUAACCUGGGUCGUUGCCAUGCGUUUCGCGUAGCUGACUGGACGCGUCGACCCGCCGGGGGUUCGAUUCCCUCUUGAUGCA